rnacentral:rRNA from 1 species
UUAAGCGACUAAGCGUACACGGUGGAUGCCCUGGCAGUCAGAGGCGAUGAAGGACGUGCUAAUCUGCGAUAAGCGUCGGUGAGGUGAUAUGAACCGUUAUAACCGGCGAUUUCCGAAUGGGGAAACCCAGUGUGUUUCGACACACUAUCAUUAACUGAAUCCAUAGGUUAAUGAGGCGAACCGGGGGAACUGAAACAUCUAAGUACCCCGAGGAAAAGAAAUCAACCGAGAUUCCCCCAGUAGCGGCGAGCGAACGGGGAGGAGCCCAGAGCCUGAAUCAGUGUGUGUGUUAGUGGAAGCGUCUGGAAAGGCGCGCGAUACAGGGUGACAGCCCCGUACACAAAAAUGCACAUAUUGUGAGCUCGAUGAGUAGGGCGGGACACGUGGUAUCCUGUCUGAAUAUGGGGGGACCAUCCUCCAAGGCUAAAUACUCCUGACUGACCGAUAGUGAACCAGUACCGUGAGGGAAAGGCGAAAAGAACCCCGGCGAGGGGAGUGAAAAAGAACCUGAAACCGUGUACGUACAAGCAGUGGGAGCCUCUUUAUGGGGUGACUGCGUACCUUUUGUAUAAUGGGUCAGCGACUUAUAUUCUGUAGCAAGGUUAACCGAAUAGGGGAGCCGAAGGGAAACCGAGUCUUAACUGGGCGUUAAGUUGCAGGGUAUAGACCCGAAACCCGGUGAUCUAGCCAUGGGCAGGUUGAAGGUUGGGUAACACUAACUGGAGGACCGAACCGACUAAUGUUGAAAAAUUAGCGGAUGACUUGUGGCUGGGGGUGAAAGGCCAAUCAAACCGGGAGAUAGCUGGUUCUCCCCGAAAGCUAUUUAGGUAGCGCCUCGUGAAUUCAUCUCCGGGGGUAGAGCACUGUUUCGGUAAGGGGGUCAUCCCGACUUACCAACCCGAUGCAAACUGCGAAUACCGGAGAAUGUUAUCACGGGAGACACACGGCGGGUGCUAACGUCCGUCGUGAAGAGGGAAACAACCCAGACCGCCAGCUAAGGUCCCAAAGUCAUGGUUAAGUGGGAAACGAUGUGGGAAGGCCCAGACAGCCAGGAUGUUGGCUUAGAAGCAGCCAUCAUUUAAAGAAAGCGUAAUAGCUCACUGGUCGAGUCGGCCUGCGCGGAAGAUGUAACGGGGCUAAACCAUGCACCGAAGCUGCGGCAGCGACACUAUGUGUUGUUGGGUAGGGGAGCGUUCUGUAAGCCUGUGAAGGUGGCCUGUGAGGGUUGCUGGAGGUAUCAGAAGUGCGAAUGCUGACAUAAGUAACGAUAAAGCGGGUGAAAAGCCCGCUCGCCGGAAGACCAAGGGUUCCUGUCCAACGUUAAUCGGGGCAGGGUGAGUCGACCCCUAAGGCGAGGCCGAAAGGCGUAGUCGAUGGGAAACAGGUUAAUAUUCCUGUACUUGGUGUUACUGCGAAGGGGGGACGGAGAAGGCUAUGUUGGCCGGGCGACGGUUGUCCCGGUUUAAGCGUGUAGGCUGGUUUUCCAGGCAAAUCCGGAAAACCAAGGCUGAGGCGUGAUGACGAGGCACUACGGUGCUGAAGCGACAAAUGCCCUGCUUCCAGGAAAAGCCUCUAAGCAUCAGGUAACAUCAAAUCGUACCCCAAACCGACACAGGUGGUCAGGUAGAGAAUACCAAGGCGCUUGAGAGAACUCGGGUGAAGGAACUAGGCAAAAUGGUGCCGUAACUUCGGGAGAAGGCACGCUAAUAUGUAGGUGAAGCGACUUGCUCGUGGAGCUGAAAUCAGUCGAAGAUACCAGCUGGCUGCAACUGUUUAUUAAAAACACAGCACUGUGCAAACACGAAAGUGGACGUAUACGGUGUGACGCCUGCCCGGUGCCGGAAGGUUAAUUGAUGGGGUUAGCGGUAACGCGAAGCUCUUGAUCGAAGCCCCGGUAAACGGCGGCCGUAACUAUAACGGUCCUAAGGUAGCGAAAUUCCUUGUCGGGUAAGUUCCGACCUGCACGAAUGGCGUAAUGAUGGCCAGGCUGUCUCCACCCGAGACUCAGUGAAAUUGAACUCGCUGUGAAGAUGCAGUGUACCCGCGGCAAGACGGAAAGACCCCGUGAACCUUUACUAUAGCUUGACACUGAACAUUGAGCCUUGAUGUGUAGGAUAGGUGGGAGGCUUUGAAGUGUGGACGCCAGUCUGCAUGGAGCCGACCUUGAAAUACCACCCUUUAAUGUUUGAUGUUCUAACGUUGGCCCGUAAUCCGGGUUGCGGACAGUGUCUGGUGGGUAGUUUGACUGGGGCGGUCUCCUCCUAAAGAGUAACGGAGGAGCACGAAGGUUGGCUAAUCCUGGUCGGACAUCAGGAGGUUAGUGCAAUGGCAUAAGCCAGCUUGACUGCGAGCGUGACGGCGCGAGCAGGUGCGAAAGCAGGUCAUAGUGAUCCGGUGGUUCUGAAUGGAAGGGCCAUCGCUCAACGGAUAAAAGGUACUCCGGGGAUAACAGGCUGAUACCGCCCAAGAGUUCAUAUCGACGGCGGUGUUUGGCACCUCGAUGUCGGCUCAUCACAUCCUGGGGCUGAAGUAGGUCCCAAGGGUAUGGCUGUUCGCCAUUUAAAGUGGUACGCGAGCUGGGUUUAGAACGUCGUGAGACAGUUCGGUCCCUAUCUGCCGUGGGCGCUGGAGAACUGAGGGGGGCUGCUCCUAGUACGAGAGGACCGGAGUGGACGCAUCACUGGUGUUCGGGUUGUCAUGCCAAUGGCACUGCCCGGUAGCUAAAUGCGGAAGAGAUAAGUGCUGAAAGCAUCUAAGCACGAAACUUGCCCCGAGAUGAGUUCUCCCUGACUCCUUGAGAGUCCUGAAGGAACGUUGAAGACGACGACGUUGAUAGGCCGGGUGUGUAAGCGCAGCGAUGCGUUGAGCUAACCGGUACUAAUGAACCGUGAGGCUUAACCUU